rnacentral:snRNA from 1 species
AUGUUCACUUUGGCAGCACGUAUGAAAAACUGGAACAAUACAGAGGAGACCCCUGCACAAGGGUGAUAGGCAGUUUGUAAAGCAUUCCAUAUAUUU